rnacentral:SRP_RNA from 1 species
GGGGACUCCCCGUGCGGCGGCACCCCGCUGAACUCCCCCAGGGCCGGAAGGCAGCAAGGGCAGGUGGGCUCUGCCGGGUGCGCGGGGGGUCGCUUCG